rnacentral:lncRNA from 1 species
ACCUCCACCUCCGGGGUCGAACGAGUGUCGUCAGUCGGCUCUCCCGACCGACCACCUCGUGGAGACGUUCUGGCCAUGGACUGAAACAAAUGGUAGGGAAUAAAGAAGAAGGAGAUGGUGAAGAUGAUGAUGGCCCUCAGAAGAAGGAGAAGGAACUACUAAGAAGAGCGAAAGCGGAGGAAAGUACCUGGGAUGAGGAAUUACGCGGGCAGAGUCUCGACAGCGAAAUGAGGGGGGUGAAAAACUGAAUGGGAGCGACCCGGUAUAUAUAGUACCC